UACAGAGGUCUCAACCGUUGUUCGGAUUUAUUGGGCGUAAAGGGUGCGUAGGCGGUCGGGUAAGUCGGAUGUGAAAUCCCAGGGCUCAACCCUGGAACUGCAUUCGAUACUGCUUGGCUAGGGUACUGGAGAGGAGACUGGAAUUUACGGUGUAGCAGUGAAAUGCGUAGAUAUCGUAAGGAAGACCAGUGGCGAAGGCGAGUCUCUGGACAGUUACCGACGCUGAGGCACGAAGGUCAGGGGAGCAAACGGG
rnacentral:rRNA from 1 species